rnacentral:rRNA from 1 species
CCUACGGUGGGCAGCAGUGGGGAAUAUUGCACAAUGGGGGAAACCCUGAUGCCGCGACGCCGCGUGGGUGACGCAGUAUUUCGGUAUGUAAAGCUCUCUCAGCAGGGACGAAAAUGACGGUACCUGAUUAAGAAGCCCCGGCUAACUACGUGCCAGCAGCCGCGGUAAUCCGUAGGGGGCAAGCGUUAUCCGGAUUUACUGGGUGUAAAGGGAGCGUAGACGGCAGCGCAAGUCUGAAGUGAAAUGCCGGGGCUGAACCCCGGAACUGCUUUGGAAACUGUGCAGCUAGAGGGCAGGAGAGGUAAGUGGAAUUCCUAGUGUAGCGGUGAAAUGCGUAGAUAUUAGGAGGAACACCAGUGGCGAAGGCGGCUUACUGGACUGUAACUGACGUUGAGGCUCGAAAGCGUGGGGAGCAAACAGGAUUAGAUACCCCUGUAGUC